GUAGAUCGUCAUCCUAGAGGCCCAGAAAUUUGGGAGGAUUUAAAGAAAGAAAUCUGUUCUGCAUAGAAGCUAUCUGCUGCACAUAACUUGUAUUUCCAUGCUUCUGCCUCUGUUAAUUGGCUAGUCUGAAGAUGUUUGAUUCUUUUAUUCUUACAAGCCGGAAAUUUUUGUUGAUGUUGUUGUAUUCAGACAUCUUAUAUUGAAGACAGUACACCUUUUUUCUCUCCUGAGUUCUCCUGGAGCACCUUCUACUAAUCCUGCACAAUCUCAAAUUUCCUAUGUACCAGCUGCCAUGGAGAAAGAC
rnacentral:lncRNA from 1 species